AUGGCACUACCUACCAGGAACAUCACACAUGUUCUCUGCUUUGUAGCUCUUCUUGUUAUAUCUACCUCCUUGCCUUCUACUACAGCAACGAGGGACAUAGGUACUAGGGAUGAUGGUGGAAAACUGUGUUUCCCAUUUGAAGAAUGCGUGGACCCAUGGCAGUAUGCGUGGGAUGAUUGCCAAAACCGAUGUGUAAAGCAUGGUUAUGACUUGUACAAAAGCUACUGCAAUAAGCACAAUGGUGGUGCAUGUUGCUGCAUAAAGUGAAUGCCAUGUUAUACUAUGGGAAAAGUUGCAUCUAAGCUAGGCUGAAUAACCCAAGAUUUGGUAAAUAAUACAAGGAAUUCAAUAAAGUCUGCUUGUCAAAAUUAUUAUUCAUGGGAUGAUUAAUGUGGCUGUUAGUUGUUGAUGGAUUGAA